CCAACUUUCUACAUUAAGUGCACUUUCUUAUAUGUAUACAGCGGCUCUCUUACAACGCCGAAAUUAUGAGGUUCUAUUUGGACCCAAGAUAUUAAACUUAUUUUCGGAAGCAGGCGGAGUGCUUGAAGCCUGCUUCACUUCUGCUGCGGGUCGGCCCGGUAUUGCACUAUCUCCGGAAUCUGCCCACGCAUU